CCUACGGGAGACAGCAGUGAGGAAUAUUGGUCAAUGGGCGCGAGCCUGAACCAGCCAAGUAGCGUGAAGGAUGACUGCCCUACGGGUUGUCAACUUCUUUUAUAAAGGAAUAAAGUGAGGCACGUGUGCCUUUUUGUCUGUAUUUUAUGAAUAAGGAUCGGCUAACUCCGUGCCAGCAGCCGCGGUAAUACGGCGGAUCCGAGCGUUAUCCGGAUUUAUUGGGUUUAAAGGGAGCGUAGAUGGGUUGUUAAGUCAGGUGUGAAAGUUUGCGGCUCAACCGUAAAAUUGCAAUUGAUACUGGCAGCCUUGAGUACAGUUGAGGUAGGCGGAAUUCGUGGUGUAGCGGUGAAAUGCGUAGAUAUCACGAAGAACUCCGAUUGCGAAGGCAGCAUACCGGCGCUCAACUGACGCUGAGGCACGAAAGCGUGGGGAUCGAACAGGAUUAGAUACCCCUGUAGUC
rnacentral:rRNA from 1 species